rnacentral:rRNA from 1 species
AUUGGCUGCCAUAUCACCCUGCAGCCCAAGACUGGUUGCCCACUGAAGCUAAGCAGGGUUGAGCUGGUCAGUACCUGGAUGGGAGACCUCCUGGGAAAACUAGGUUGCUGUUGGAA